AUACGGAGGGGGUUAGCGUUGGUCGGAAUUACUGGGCGUAAAGCGCACGUAGGCGGAUUGGAAAGUUGGGGGUGAAAUCCCAGGGCUCAACCCUGGAACUGCCUCCAAAACUAACAGUCUAGAGUUCGAGAGAGGUGAGUGGAAUUCCAAGUGUAGAGGUGAAAUUCGUAGAUAUUUGGAGGAACACCAGUGGCGAAGGCGGCUCACUGGCUCGAUACUGACGCUGAGGUGCGAAAGCGUGGGGAGCAAACAGGAUUAGAGACCCUAGUAGUCC
rnacentral:rRNA from 1 species